rfam:Acidovorax citrulli AAC00-1, complete genome.
AUGCUGAUGGCAGGAAUCGCUGACGACUGACGUCGCCAUCACCCUGCCAGCAGCCAGGAUCUUCGAGCUGCCUCGGAGCUCCAACCGCGCGAUCCCCCGGUCCGCUUCGCAUCACGCCGACGGACGCCGCCCCUUCCCGGGGCGUUGAUGC